GGGCCGAAGGGUCUUUUCCAGUGCUGUAUAAUUCAUAACUUUGAAUUCUGAGUGGCUUUUCUCUCAGACACGCUUCUGUGGAGAACUGUAUUGAUAACUUGUACAAAUGUAUGCAUUACUGUAGUGAGGAAGACUGCGCGCGCACAAGUACACACUCAUAUGUGCUCACCUUUCAGACACACACGCACGCAUGAAUGAGCACACCUUUCAGACGGGUGUUUCUCGCUGGCUGUGCACCAGUUGUACCCAGAGGUGGCGUUCUGUACUUUCUCUACUCCUGGGAAAUAGAGCAGAACAAGGUCGGCCCACUGACUCACUCGCAGCGAGUUACAGCCACACCUCAGCGCACAAGGAAGACUUCGGCCGAGGAAGUUCAAAUGGCUUCGCUUUAUACUUGCUGAUCCUUAUGUCAAAACGACCUUGACUUCACCUACUUGGACCCAGAGCCUUCAGUGAAAGGGUUUGGAUCCAAGUACAAAGGGAAAAUUUGACGUUCCAGGGGACAGACUACCCGAAUUUUGAUUUCAGCAGCUGUGGACUCCUGCCAUCGGUGAAGCCUGCCCCCCUUGCUUGAGUGUGGGCAGAGGGGGGUGAACAUUGAGUUGCCCAGUUUUUUUAAAAAGUCAGUUUUGUGUGAAGAGUCUGUGAAAGCCAGGAGAAAUGAGUGAAUUCUGGUUGUGUUUUGGCUGCUCAGAAGUGGAGAAGGCGCAACCG